CUACGGGGGGCUCCAGUGGGGAAUAUUGCACAAUGGGCGCAAGCCUGAUGCAGCCAUGCCGCGUGUAUGAAGAAGGCCUUCGGGUUGUAAAGUACUUUCAGCGGGGAGGAAGGGAGUAAAGUUAAUACCUUUGCUCAUUGACGUUACCCGCAGAAGAAGCACCGGCUAACUCCGUGCCAGCAGCCGCGGUAAUACGGAGGGUGCAAGCGUUAAUCGGAAUUACUGGGCGUAAAGCGCACGCAGGCGGUUUGUUAAGUCAGAUGUGAAAUCCCCGGGCUCAACCGGGGAACUGCAUCUGAUACUGGCAAGCUUGAGUCUCGUAGAGGGGGGUAGAAUUCCAGGUGUAGCGGUGACAUGCGUAGAGAUCUGGAGGAAUACCGGUGGCGAAGGCGGCCCCCUGGACGAAGACUGACGCUCAGGUGCGAAAGCGUGGGGAGCAAACAGGAUUAGAUACCCGUGUAGUC
rnacentral:rRNA from 1 species